GCGGCGACGGCCGUCGGGCGGAGGAGGCGGCCCCAGCGCCAUUUUGUGGGAGCGAAGCGGUCGCUGGGCUGUUCCCGGAUUCCCGGCUUCUUGACUCUUCUUGUCGGGCCUCCUGUCAGCGGCCUAGCGGAAAAACAGAAGAUGUCGGAGUAUAUCCGGGUAACGGAAGAUGAGAACGAUGAGCCCAUUGAAAUACCCUCGGAAGACGAUGGGACGGUGCUGCUGUCCACAGUCACGGCCCAGUUUCCGGGGGCGUGCGGGCUGCGCUACCGCAACCCCGUGUCCCAGUGCAUGCGGGGCGUCCGGCUGGUGGAAGGGAUUCUGCAUGCCCCGGACGCUGGCUGGGGAAACCUGGUGUAUGUUGUCAACUACCCCAAAGAUAACAAAAGGAAAAUGGAUGAAACAGAUGCUUCGUCAGCAGUGAAAGUGAAAAGAGCCGUCCAGAAGACAUCUGACUUGAUAGUGCUGGGUCUGCCGUGGAAAACCACGGAGCAGGACCUGAAAGAAUACUUCAGUACCUUCGGAGAAGUGCUCAUGGUGCAGGUCAAGAAAGAUAUUAAAACUGGUCAUUCAAAGGGGUUUGGGUUUGUUCGAUUUACGGAAUACGAAACCCAGGUGAAAGUAAUGUCACAGAGACAUAUGAUAGACGGACGAUGGUGUGACUGUAAACUUCCUAAUUCUAAGCAAAGCCCAGAUGAGCCCCUGAGAAGCAGGAAGGUGUUCGUCGGGCGCUGUACGGAGGACAUGACGGCUGACGAGCUGCGGCAGUUCUUCUGCCAGUACGGAGAGGUGGUGGACGUCUUCAUCCCCAAGCCGUUCAGGGCUUUUGCCUUUGUCACAUUUGCAGAUGACCAGGUGGCCCAGUCUCUCUGUGGCGAGGACUUGAUCAUUAAAGGAAUCAGCGUACAUAUAUCCAAUGCUGAGCCUAAGCACAAUAGCAAUAGGCAGUUAGAGAGGAGCGGAAGGUUCGGUGGGAACCCAGGGGGCUUUGGGAAUCAGGGUGGCUUCGGGAACAGCAGGGGGGGCGGAGCUGGCUUGGGAAAUAACCAGGGUAGCAACAUGGGUGGAGGGAUGAACUUCGGCGCUUUCAGCAUCAAUCCAGCCAUGAUGGCUGCAGCCCAGGCAGCGCUGCAGAGCAGCUGGGGAAUGAUGGGCAUGCUAGCCAGUCAGCAGAACCAGUCAGGCCCAUCAGGUAACAACCAAAGCCAGGGCAACAUGCAGAGAGAGCCGAAUCAGGCCUUUGGGUCUGGAAAUAACUCCUACAGUGGUUCCAAUUCAGGGGCAGCGAUUGGCUGGGGGUCAGCUUCCAAUGCAGGGUCAGGCAGUGGUUUUAACGGAGGCUUUGGCUCAAGCAUGGAUUCCAAACCUUCCAGCUGGGGAAUGUAGACAGUGGAUGACGGUUGGUUGUAUAGACUGGUGGGAAUUCAAAUUUUUCUAAACUCAUGGUAAGUAUAUUGUAAAAUACAUAUGUACUAAGAAUUUUCCAAAUUGGUUUGUUCAGUGUGGAGUAUAUUCAGCAGUAUUUUUGACAUUUUUCUUUAGAAAAAGAGGAAGAGUUAAAGGAAUUUUAUAAGUUUUGUUACAUAAAGGGUUGAAAUACUGAGUGUUUGAAAGUGAACUGCUGUUUGCCUGAUUGGUAAACCAACACACUACAAUUGAUAUCAAAAGGUUUCUCCUGUAACAUUUUAUCCCUGGACUUGUCAAGUGAAUUCUUUGCAUGUUCAAAAUGGAAACCAUUAAUUAGAACUACAUUCUUUUCUUUUCAUUUGAACCCCACCACAUGGAUUUUUUCCUUAGGAAUGUCUCCUUUUGGGGGAUCAUGGUGUCACAGUGUUUGGUUCUUUUGUUUUUGUUUUUUAACACUUGUCUCCCUUCAUAUGCAAAAGUACAAUAUGAAGCCUUCAUUUAAUCUCUGCAGUUCAUCUCAUUUCAAAUGUUUAUGGAAGAAGCACUUCAUUGAAAGUAGUGCUGUAAAAAUUCUGCCAUAGGAACACUUCUGUCUACGUGCUUUCUCAUCCAAGAUUGCGUCAUCACACUGCACAGGCUGCGUCUCUGACGCACUUGCACUAUUACUCAGCAGCAGUAACAUGGUAACACUUAAAAUGGUAUUCGGGGACAUCCAAAGACUAAACUGACAAGCCUUCAAGGAGCCCAGGGGUAAGUUACCUUGUCAAUGGCAUGGUUUUAAUCCCUCUUUACACUUGUGUAAAUCUAGUCAUUGGUCUUAAAGGCUUUCAAUGUUGAGUAGCCUUCGGUUAAUAUGUUUGUGGUAAUAAUACAUAGCUAUGGGCCUUUAAUUCUAUCCUAAAUUUUUUUUCUUUUUUUUGAAGUUUAGAAGUAAACUAUUUGGCAAAGAUUUGUUUUUAACAUCUAUUUGGUCAUCUAACUGCAUUCAUUCUAAACAUUUUUUUGAACCAGUUGAAUAAAAAUUUUUGUUGCCACCAGUUUAGUGUCUGGAGUCUUACUGGGAAAACAGUUUCCUUUUUAUAUGUGACAAAAAUGCUGUAAAGUUACCUUUAAAAGUGAGUCUCAAGAAGUUGCACUUUAUAUGCACAAGAGAAAUUAGGACAAAACUCACAAUGAAUGUUUAAAUACAAUGGUAACUGGCUAGAAUGAAAAGCUUUGUUAGAUGUUAGCUCUUAAAACUUUUUAGGAAGGACUAGCCAACUAAAAUGAAUUAUUUUUAAGGUUAAGUCAGAGCUUAAAUUUUGCCCUUAGGAAAAAGAAGUUAACCACUUACUUCGGAAGAUGUAUGUGAUAAUUAGAAUAAUUUUUUGUUGUUGAGUACUAGGACAGUAGCUCUUAGUUGUGUAUCCGGGUUGUGUACUUAGGUAUUGUGUGAUCUGUGGUCUGUUGUUUGGCUGAGUGUGACCCUGUUUUACAUGCUUAUUGUAAGAAGGAAAAAAAAAUACAGGUUUAUCUAUAAUAUCACCGUUUACUUCCGGUGUUGUCUUCUGGAUUUGAACAUUAAUUAGGGUAUUUCUAAGUGCUCGGAGCAUGCCUGACUUAAGUUCUUAGCAUUGGAAUUACUAGGUUAAGACUGCAUGUUUUUAAGGCUUUUGAAAUACAUUGCAAAAUUUUCCUUUAGAAAAUCUUUGUUGUCUUUGACAAUGUGAAUAGUGCUAUUCCAUGUUCAUUUUGUCUACCAAUUUGAUAAGUGCAAAAUUAUAUCACUGUUUUUGUGAUACUGGUUUUUGUUUUUGUGAUACUGGUUUUUAACAUGGAAAUUAGUACCUAGGCCAAAGUAUUGAUGUUUCCAGUUCAUCUACAAAAGUCCAUGAUUCAAGGUUAUCCUCAACCAGUACUGCUGUAAUGUAUAAAGCUUUCACAGAGUAAGAAUAAGUCGAAAAAUACUCAACGAGCAUGCACAGGCAAUUUCCAGAAACACAAUUAUAAAAAAGCCAGUGCGGAAAGAUACUGGGCUUUGUGAGUAAUGCGAUGCAGACCUGACCAGUGCGUUUCUGUUGCUUCGGCAACGACAAGCAUCGCUGUGCUUUAUGCCCCUGGAACCGAAUGGAAAGGGGGACACACUGGCCAGCCUCUCGCUGGAGGAGGGUUUUGCUUUUUGGGGCGACAGUGGCUGGGCUACUAUUUCCCGGGUCACAUUGCUGCUGAGAUCUUUUAUAGGCAUUUUUUGAAAGGAAUUAUUUACUGAUUGAAAACAUACAAAUUAAAAGUUAUUCAUUAUUCUCUUGAUCCAGGGAAUAUAGUUAAUGACUUUUGUAUAGACCCCAUACACUUGUGCUGCCCCACAAUGAAUGGAGCCCCAGGACACUAUCCCUCCCACAAACCACCUGUGUGUGUCGUUGUGGAGAAACACUAAGGCCCCUCCGCUGUCGCCUCCACAGCUGUCCCUGCCCCCGCUCUCCACGCCCGCACACAGCAUGUUGGCGGUUACCUGGGGGUGCAGCGGCUUCUUGGCAUAGGCAGCGGCACAUUUUUUCUGAUCCACAAUUGGUACCUCGACAAACUGUAGAUUUGUGGCAAGAAAGCCGCUCUGGGUUAAUCCCCAUCCGGACACAGUUCCAGUGGUGUCGGUCCUCAUGAGGGACUCGGCAUCUUCUCCCGGCAAGCACACAGGCAUGAUGUUGCUGUUGACCGCAACUCUGUUCUGCAGUUUGAUCAGGGCUAUGUCGUUAUCGAAACCAGCGCCAUCCCUGUAGCCUUCGUGUAUGAACACGGCCUCCGCCCAGGCUUGUGUGUGCUGAGGGGACAGUCUCUUCAGGGCGCCCAUCCGGAUGUUGAGGGAGGAGGCGGCGUCUUUUUGCGCGUAGACAGCAUGAGCCGCCGUCAGGAUCCAGUUGUCAGACAGAAGCGCCCCUGCUGCUAUUGUUGUGUCGCCCAGUAGCAGGACUUGCCAAGGAAAGUCACCAAGCCUUGCGUUCUGCCCUCCGUAUAUGCGAGCUCCGGCUGUGCGGGCUGACAUUCCGCACGCUGGGGAGAGAAGCAGAUAGGCAGGCCUGUGUAGAGACCACUGGUGCUGUUCUCCACUCAGCACUUGGGACUUGUUAACACUUCACAUGAACCCAAAAUUGUGUCACAAGUUGGUGGGUGCCCACCUGUACAGGCAAGUGAGGCCACCUUACCACAGCACAGCUCAGAGGCCCAGUGGGCAGUUCUUAGCUCCUCAGAAAGUGAGGUGGGUAGCAUUGCUUUGAGAAACUGUUAUUUGUUCUGCAAAA